UACAGAGGUCUCAAGCGUUGUUCGGAUUCAUUGGGCGUAAAGGGUGCGUAGGUGGCGCUGUAAGUCGGUGUGAAAUUUCGGAGCUUAACUCCGAAACUGCAUUCGAUACUGCCGUGCUUGAGGACUGGAGAGGAGACUGGAAUUUACGGUGUAGCAGUGAAAUGCGUAGAGAUCAUGAGGAAGACCAGUGGCGAAGGCGGGUCUCUGGACAGUUCCUGACACUGAGGCACGAAGGCCAGGGGAGCAAACGGG
rnacentral:rRNA from 1 species